CCUACUCCCGUUGUGUGCCUUGCCCUACCACGACUGCUACGUUAGGUAGGAGGUAGGUGUAGUAUAUACUCNCGUGUAGUUGUACCGUUACUAACGAGAACGCCGACGUACGUAAACUACGCGACAGCACGCCGUACGGUAACUACGGUGGUGACGAAGUCGUUACGACGUUAAUUGUGGGUACGAACGCGCGCGUAGGUAACGUAAAUAGUCUGAUGAGACCGCCCGUCUACGGACGGGACGGGUCAUUGGAAACUGUUUUACUUGAGUACAGAAGAGGAGAGUGGAAUUCCCAUGUGUAGCGGUGAAAUGCGCAGAG
rnacentral:rRNA from 1 species